UACAGAGGUCCCAAGCGUUGUUCGGAUUCACUGGGCGUAAAGGGUGCGUAGGUGGUUAGAUAAGUCUGAUGUGAAAUCUCCGAGCUUAACUCGGAAAUGGCAUUGGAUACUAUUCGACUAGAGAGUUGGAGGGGGGACUGGAAUACUUGGUGUAGCAGUGAAAUGCGUAGAUAUCAAGUGGAACACCAGUGGCGAAGGCGAGUCCCUGGACAACUUCUGACACUGAGGCACGAAAGCUAGGGGAGCAAACAGGAUUAGAAACCCCCGUAGUCC
rnacentral:rRNA from 1 species